rnacentral:rRNA from 1 species
AUUGAACGCUGGCGGAAUGCUUUACACAUGCAAGUCGAACGGCAGCACGGGGGCAACCCUGGUGGCGAGUGGCGAACGGGUGAGUAAUGCAUCGGAACGUACCCAAUCGUGGGGGAUAACUGGCCGAAAGGUCAGCUAAUACCGCAUACGUCCUGAGGGAGAAAGCAGGGGAUCGCAAGACCUUGCGCGAUUGGAGCGGCCGAUGUCUGAUUAGCUAGUUGGUGGGUAAGAGCCUACCAAGGCGACGAUCAGUAGCUGGUCUGAGAGGAUGAUCAGCCACACUGGGACUGAGACACGGCCCAGACUCCUACGGGAGGCAGCAGUGGGGAAUUUUGGACAAUGGGCGCAAGCCUGAUCCAGCCAUUCCGCGUGAGUGAAGAA